rnacentral:rRNA from 1 species
GACGAACGCUGGCGGCGUGCUUAACACAUGCAAGUCGAACGGAAAGGCCCUGCUUUUGUGGGGUGCUCGAGUGGCGAACGGGUGAGUAACACGUGAGUAACCUGCCCUUGACUUUGGGAUAACUUCAGGAAACUGGGGCUAAUACCGGAUAGGAGCUCCUGCUGCAUGGUGGGGGUUGGAAAGUUUCGGCGGUUGGGGAUGGACUCGCGGCUUAUCAGCUUGUUGGUGGGGUAGUGGCUUACCAAGGCUUUGACGGGUAGCCGGCCUGAGAGGGUGACCGGCCACAUUGGGACUGAGAUGCGGCCCAGACUCCUACGGGAGGCAACAGUGGGGUAUAUUGCACAAUGGGCUGAAGCCUGAUGCAGCAACGCCGCGUGCGGGAUGACGGCCAUCGGGUUGUAAACCGCUUUCGCCUGUGACGAAGCGUGAGUGACGGUAAUGGGUAAAGAAGCACCGGCUAACUACGUG